UGAAUUUUCCAGUAGUGACGCCUCUUUCA
rnacentral:piRNA from 1 species